rnacentral:lncRNA from 1 species
CCGCCGACGCCGGCGCAGCCGACGCCCGUAUUUAUACUACCGAAGAGUUUGCGUGGGGCCCGCCGGGCGGCGCUAGCAGCCUCGUCUCCUGAGGGGACGUUUCUAUUUGGGCCGCCUCUGUGCGAGCUGCCUAGCCUAAGGACACCGAGUUUUCCUUAGAAGCAACCGCGGGAUACACCCCUCUGUAGAGAAAGAAGACCAACAAGAUCCUCCUUCUGCACUUGGGAGCUGGAGGAUGUGCUCAUGUUUUGUAAAGAUGAAUAAGGAAGAGCUACAGUAGCAGGCAUGGUGUUCCCUGCUUGUAAUCCCAGCAACCUGGAGCUUGAGGAGGAAGGCUUGAGAGUCCAGAGCAUCCUGGGCUACAUCUGUCUCACACCUCACCAAGUAUAUGAUGGGACAAAAUGUCUUCUGCCCGAGCAAACUGGAAGUGGAUGGAUGGAUAGAUAGAUGGAAUCUGAAAACUGAACUAAUGACGUAUGGAGCCAAAAGCACAGCUAAGAGAGUAAUUCCCAAGCUCGAUGUUUUAUGUGUGCAAGCUAAGUGGAUUUUCUCCAUACUUCACGGAAGAAGUAAGGCGACCACCGGAGCGCUAAAGAGGAGGUCCUUUGGUAUUUGAAUUAUUUCACUGAAAUAAGAUCAGGCUCGAAAAACCUCUUUAAAACUAAGGUGAUGUUUCCAGAAAUAAAGAUCACAUAGUGGUUGC